AAGUACCACACUGAGGUGAGGACUUAAAAAUGAUAAGACGAGUUCCCUAUUUUAUAAGAAAAAUAAGCCAAAAUUAAAUAUUCUUUUGGAUAUAAAUUUCAACAGUGAGAUAGCUGCCUAGUGGAAAUGAAUAAUAUCCCAGCCACUAGUGUACAGGGUGUUUUGUGGCACAGGAUUAUGUAAUAUGGAACUGCUCAAGCAAAUAACUAGUCAUCACAACAGCAGUUCUUUGUAAUAACUGAAAAAGAAUAUUGUUUCUCGGAGAAGGAUGUCAAAAGAUCGGCCCAGCUCAGGGAGCAGUUUGCCCUACUAGCUCCUCGGACAGCUGUAAAGAAGAGUCUCUGGCUCUUUAGAAUACUGAUCCCAUUGAAGAUACCACGCUGCAUGUGUCCUUAGUAGUCAUGUCUCCUUAGGCUCCUCUUGGACAUUCUGAGCAUGUGAGACCUGAGGACUGCAAACAGCUAUAAGAGGCUCCAAAUUAAUCAUAUCUUUCCCUUUGAGAAUCUGGCCAAGCUCCAGCUAAUCUACUUGGAUGGGUUGCCAGCUAUCUGGAGAAAAAGAUCUUCCUCAGAAGAAUAGGCUUGUUGUUUUACAGUGUUAGUGAUCCAUUCCCUUUGACGAUCCCUAGGUGGAGAUGGGGCAUGAGGAUCCUCCAGGGGAAAAGCUCACUACCACUGGGCAACAACCCUAGGUCAGGAGGUUCUGUCAAGAUACUUUCCUGGUCCCAGAUAGGAAGAUAAAGUCUCAAAAACAACCACCACACGUCAAGCUCUUCAUUGUUCCUAUCUGCCAAAUCAUUAUACUUCCUACAAGCAGUGCAGAGAGCUGAGUCUUCAGCAGGUCCAAGAAAUUUGAACACACUGAAGGAAGUCAGCCUUCCCACCUGAAGAUCAACAUGCCUGGCACUCUAGCACUUGAGGAUAGCUGAAUGAAUGUGUCUUACCCAUUUCCAUGUUUCUCUUGCUAAUUUCUUUCGUGUGUGCCUUUGCCUCAUUUUCUCUUUUUGUUCACAAGAGUGGUCUGUGUCUUGUCUUAGACAUAUCUCUCAUUUUUCAUUUUGUUGCUAUUUCUCUUUGCUCUCCUAGAUGUGGCUCUUCUUUCACGCUUUAUUUCAUGUCUCCUUUUUGGGUCACAUGCUGUGUGCUUUUUGUCCUUUUCUUGUUCUGUCUACCUCUCCUUUCUCUGCCUACCUCUCUUUUCUCUUUGUGAACUGUGAUUAUUUGUUACCCCUUCCCCUUCUCGUUCGUUUUAAAUUUCACCUUUUUUCUGAGUCUGGCCUCCUUUCUGCUGUUUCUACUUUUUAUCUCACAUUUCUCAUUUCUGCAUUUCCUUUCUGCCUCUCUUGGGCUAUUCUCUCUCUCCUCCCCUGCGUGCCUCAGCAUCUCUUGCUGUUUGUGAUUUUCUAUUUCAGUAUUAAUCUCUGUUGGCUUGUAUUUGUUCUCUGCUUCUUCCCUUUCUACUCACCUUUGAGUAUUUCAGCCUCUUCAUGAAUCUAUCUCCCUCUCUUUGAUUUCAUGUAAUCUCUCCUUAAAUAUUUCUUUGCAUAUGUGGGCAAGUGUACGUGUGUGUGUGUCAUGUGUGGCAGAGGGGCUUCCUAACCCCUGCCUGAUAGGUGCAGAACGUCGGCUAUCAGAGCAAGCAUUGUGGAGCGGUUCCUUAUGCCAGGCUGCCAUGUGAGAUGAUCCAAGACCAAAACAAGGCCCUAGACUGCAGUAAAACCCAGAACUCAAGUAGGGCAGAAGGUGGAAGGCUCAUAUGGAUAGAAGGCCCAAAGUAUAAGACAGAUGGUUUGAGACUUGAGACCCGAGGACUAAGAUGGAAAGCCCAUGUUCCAAGAUAGAUAGAAGCCUCAGGCCUGAAACCAACAAAAGCCUCAAGAGCCAAGAAAACAGAGGGUGGCCUGAAUUGGACCGAAGGCCUGAGUUGGAUGGAAGUCUCAAGGCUUGAGUUAGAAGUCUUAAGACCUGGGACAGGACACAUGGAAGGCCUAAGAACUGAGACUUGUGACACAAGGCCAACGACCUAAGAUUAGCCCAGGGUUGUAGCUGGAAGACCUACAACCCAAGGAUGGAAGGCCCCUGUCACAAAGCCUACCUAGAUGGAUAGAGGACCCAAGCGAAAAAGGUAUCUCAAGACUAACGGCCGGAAUCUGGAGGCCCAUGACCCAGAACCCAGGAAGGAUAGAAGCUUGAAGACCUGGGGAAAUCCCAAGAUGAGAACCCUAAACCCUACCUCUUUUCUAUUGUUUACACUUCUUACUCUUAGAUAUUUCCAGUUCUCCUGUUUAUCUUUAAGCCUGAUUCUUUUGAGAUGUACUUUUUGAUGUUGCCGGUUACCUUUAGAUUGACAGUAUUAUGCCUGGGCCAGUCUUGAGCCAGCUUUAAAUCACAGCUUUUACCUAUUUGUUAGGCUAUAGUGUUUUGUAAACUUCUGUUUCUAUUCACAUCUUCUCCACUUGAGAGAGACACCAAAAUCCAGUCAGUAUCUAAUCUGGCUUUUGUUAACUUCCCUCAGGAGCAGACAUUCAUAUAGGUGAUACUGUAUUUCAGUCCUUUCUUUUGACCCCAGAAGCCCUAGACUGAGAAGAUAAAAUGGUCAGGUUGUUGGGGAAAAAAAAGUGCCAGGCUCUCUAGAGAAAAAUGUGAAGAGAUGCUCCAGGCCAAUGAGAAGAAUUAGACAAGAAAUACACAGAUGUGCCAGACUUCUGAGAAGCACCUGCCAGCAACAGCUUCCUUCUUUGAGCUUAGUCCAUCCCUCAUGAAAAAUGACUGACCACUGCUGGGCAGCAGGAGGGAUGAUGACCAACUAAUUCCCAAACCCCAGUCUCAUUGGUACCAGCCUUGGGGAACCACCUACACUUGAGCCACAAUUGGUUUUGAAGUGCAUUUACAAGGUUUGUCUAUUUUCAGUUCUUUACUUUUUACAUGCUGACACAUACAUACACUGCCUAAAUAGAUCUCUUUCAGAAACAAUCCUCAGAUAACGCAUAGCAAAAUGGAGAUGGAGACAUGAUUUCUCAUGCAACAGCUUCUCUAAUUAUACCUUAGAAAUGUUCUCCUUUUUAUCAUCAAAUCUGCUCAAGAAGGGCUUUUUAUAGUAGAAUAAUAUCAGUGGAUGAAAACAGCUUAACAUUUUACCAUGCUUAAGUUUUAAGAAUAAAAUAAAAAUUGGAAAUAAUUGGCCAAAAUUGAAAGGAAAAAUUUUUUUAAAAUUUCUCUAAAUGUAGGCCUGGCUGGGCUUUGACCUUUUCCGUUUUUAAAUCACUCACAGAGGGUGGGACAGGAGGAAGAGUGAAGGAAAAGGUCAAACCUGUUUUAAGGGCAACCUGCCUUUGUUCUGAAUUGGUCUUAAGAACAUUACCAGCUCCAGGUUUAAAUUGUUCAGUUUCAUGCAGUUCCAAUAGCUGAUCAUUGUUGAGAUGAGGACAAAAUCCUUUGUCCUCACUAGUUUGCUUUACAUUUUUGAAAAGUAUUAUUUUUGUCCAAGUGCUUAUCAACUAAACCUUGUGUUAGGUAAGAAUGGAAUUUAUUAAGUGAAUCAGUGUGACCCUUCUUGUCAUAAGAUUAUCUUAAAGCUGAAGCCAAAAUAUGCUUCAAAAGAAGAGGACUUUAUUGUUCAUUGUAGUUCAUACAUUCAAAGCAUCUGAACUGUAGUUUCUAUAGCAAGCCAAUUACAUCCAUAAGUGGAGAAGGAAAUAGAUAAAUGUCAAAGUAUGAUUGGUGGAGGGAGCAAGGUUGAAGAUAAUCUGGGGUUGAAAUUUUCUAGUUUUCAUUCUGUACAUUUUUAGUUAGACAUCAGAUUUGAAAUAUUAAUGUUUACCUUUCAAUGUGUGGUAUCAGCUGGACUCAGUAACACCCCUUUCUUCAGCUGGGGAUGGGGAAUGGAUUAUUGGAAAAUGGAAAGAAGAAAGUAACUAAAAGCCUUCCUUUCACAGUUUCUGGCAUCACUACCACUACUGAUUAAACAAGAAUAAGAGAACAUUUUAUCAUCAUCUGCUUUAUUCACAUAAAUGAAGUUGUGAUGAAUAAAUCUGCUUUUAUGCAGACACAAGGAAUUAAGUGGCUUCGUCAUUGUCCUUCUACCUCAAAGAUAAUUUAUUCCAAAAGCUAAGAUAAAUGGAAGACUCUUGAACUUGUGAACUGAUGUGAAAUGCAGAAUCUCUUUUGAGUCUUUGCUGUUUGGAAGAUUGAAAAAUAUUGUUCAGCAUGGGUGACCACCAGAAAGUAAUCUUAAGCCAUCUAGAUGUCACAAUUGAAACAAACUGGGGAGUUGGUUGCUAUUGUAAAAUAAAAUAUACUGUUUUGAAAACUUUGUAUUUUGAUGUGACAAUUUCUAACUCACUGUCCCUAACCACACUAAUUACCGUAAGUUCUUCAUUUCUUUUUUCUUUUUCUUUUUAAAUUAAUAAAUUAAUUUAUUUUUUGGAGAUGGAGUCUCGCUUUGUUGCCCAGGCUGGAGUGCAGUGGUGCCAUCUUGGCUCACUGUAACCUCUGCCUCCUGGGUUCAAGCGAUUCUCCUGCCUCAGCCUCACCAGUAGCUGGGAUUACAGUCAUGAGCCACCAUGCCUGGCUAAUGGUUGUAUUUUUAGUAGAGACGGGGUUUUGCCAUGUUGGCCAGGCUGGUCACGAACUCCUGACUUAAAGUGAAACACCUGCCUCGGCCUCCCAAAGUUCUGGGAUUACAGGCGGGAGCCACCGUGCCUGGCCUCAUUUCUUUUUUUAAACUACCUUAAUCACCCAGUGUGGGUAAAUGGUUUGAAGUCUCAUUUCUUACAGCAUCAGUUGCUUUGGUCAAGGAUACUGAGAAGCACAAACCCAGUAAAAAAUGUGAGAAGCAAAAAACUUGAGGAUCAAAAGUGGGAGAGGAGAAGGGUAUAAACUGUAAGGCUGUGGGAAUUAAGCAUUCAUGAAAGAGGCCCAGACCCUGAGUAGGUGAAGGGAUCUUCAGUGUUUCUAGAAUUCUGAAUGAUCAAAUACCCAAACAUUAGAUUGGUGACUUUAUAGGCAAAUGAACCAGCACAGUAUUUUUUUUUUUUUUGAGACAGAGUCUCGCUCUGUCUCCAGGCUGGAGUGCGGUGGUGUGAUCGGCUCACUGCAACCUCUGCCACCCAGGUUCAAGCAAUUGUGCCUCAGCCUCCCGAAUAGCUGGGAUUAAAGGCGUGUAGUACGACAGCAGGCUAAUUUUUGUAUUUAAUUUAGUAGAGAGAGGGUUUCACCAUUUUGGCCAGGCUAGUCUCUUAACUCCUGACCUCAAAUGAUCCACCCGCCUCGGCCUCCCAAAGUGCUGGGAUUACGGGCAUAAGUCGCCGUGCCCAGCCCCCAGCACAGUAUUCUAUAGGCAAGAGUUCCUACUGCUUUGUUGGAAAUUAAACUGGAAACUGGUUUUUUUUUUUUUCUCCAGAAAGUCUUAAGCUGUUAUGGGCCCAGAUGGUUAUUCAGUAUAUGAACUUUUUUUUUUUUUUUUUUAGACAGUGUCUUGCUCAGCCACCCAGGCUGGAGUGCAGUGGUGUGAUCUCGGCUCACUGCAGCCACUGUCUCCCAGGUUCAAGUGAUUCUCCCGUCCCAGCCUCCAGAACAGCUGGCAUUACAGGCACCCGCCAUCAUGCCCGGCUAACUUUUGUAUUUUAGUAGAGACUGGGUUUCACCAUGUUGGCCAGGCUAGUCUUGAACUCCUGACCUCAGGUGAUCCACCAGCCUUGGCCUCCCAAGGUGCUAGGAUUACAGGUGUGAGCCGCCGCACCCGUCCCAGUACAUGGACCUUUAAAACCGAUGCCUGAAGAACUCUUACCUAUGUGUUAACAGUUGAAUUUUGUCAUUAUAAAUGAGUAGAGUUUGAGGUGAUAAAGUUGACCCAUAUCUUGGGGGUUGCUUCUGAACUGGGAUGGUGCUACAUGGACUUUUCUCUUUACUCUUAUUUCUUUGCAAGGCUGGAUGUGUAGGACAGAGGGAAAGCAGGUGAGGCGGUAAGGAGACUUCCUGAAGUUAUUCUUGAGUGUCUUCUGUUCCUUUGUCCAUCCCUCUUGAUUCCUUCAGCAGAUCCUAUUCCCAUAGGGGCUUACUUCAGUCCCCUUGUCAUAUUUGCUGUGCUUACUCUUGUGUUUGUGGUGCUUUGGUCCUCAAAUUCCUUGAUUCUCUUGUAAAAUUUGAAGGGAGAGGAAAUGAAAAACACCGUAUCUCCUGGUUAGUGAGGAAAGGUCAGACAAGGCAAUUUUAUAGGGGCAGCAGAAAUAUUUAGAAAAUGUCAAAGCAUUUGAUAGUAUUUUUCAGUUUUUGUAUUUUUUAUGUGGUGUGUAUGAAGUGGUCACUGUAUGCUUGUAGUUGGAUUUGGUGCCAGCCCAACCCACAUCCACAAAAACUUGUGCCUCCUAUCAAUUUACUCUUUUACCCUUGGUCAUGAGAAAAGGUAAUGUUACUGAGGCCAGUAGACUUAGGCAAGCAUCUAUCAUUCAAAUUUCGAAGUGGAAUAAUUUAAAUGGGGUUUAAAAUUUAGCCAGCCAUUCUAUUCACUGUGAAUGGAUAGGCAGGAAGUGUGCUAAUCAUAGGUCCAACUUCUGAAAAAGGUGGAGGUAGCAAGGAAAACCAGUUGAAGGACCUUAGUACCUUUCCCAUGAAUUAUAGCAAAUGGAGCACCAAGGCAAUUACAUGGUAGCUGAGGAGUCAUUAGUUCUCAAAAUUCAAACCCCACUCAGCUAUAUUGUUUCCAUUGGCUUGGUAAAGGUGAACUUUUGAGGGGUUCUUAUUGUUAGUAUUUCCUGGGUUUGCCACAGUCUUGCUCCCAGUACCAGCAUUCUCAGUGACGAGCUUCCUUUUACCCACUCCAGUUUCUCUUCUCUGUGUACUCUGGAUCAAAAUAGUAACUCCUUUCUAGAGUGCUAGAACAAAAGCUGGCAUCACUUGAGGGCCUAAGGAGAGGAGAGCAAAGGGAGAGCAGAAUGCAAAGUAGAGUGGGAAAGAAAGUUGGAUUCGAGCAGCCUUGCAGGUAGCUAACUACUUAGGCAGAACCUGUCACUUUAUGGGAACUCCGUGGUAAGGAAAAAAAUUCAUAAGCAGACUUUGCAGGCAGGAUUUCAAAAAAUCUUAGGAAUUCUGACUCACAUUAAAUAGAAGAAGAAUGUCAAAGGUUGAGUGGCUUGUGAGGGAUGAGCUUUGAGUGGACCCUACUUUAUAAUAUUCCGUGAAGAAAUGAUUAG
rnacentral:lncRNA from 1 species